GUACCUUUUGCAUAAUGGGUCAGCAAGUUAAUAUUAGAUGCGAGCAAUUUUGCCCAGAUAAACCAAUUAUGAAAUAAUGAAUAAGUAUCUAAAAUUAGACCCGAAGCCUAGUGAUCUUACCAUGGUCAGGGUUAUAAAAGCCCGCACGGGUUAUCGUUUCAUAGAUAUCCGAAGAACUGUGGUAAGUUGGUGAAAGAUAAAACUGACUAGGAUAGCUGGUUUUCC
rnacentral:rRNA from 1 species